rnacentral:rRNA from 1 species
UCGAACGAAGCGAUCAGGAGGAAGUUUUCGGAUGGAAUCCGGAUUGACUGAGUGGCGGACGGGUGAGUAACGCGUGGGUAACCUGCCUCAUACAGGGGGAUAACAGUUAGAAAUGACUGCUAAUACCGCAUAAGCGCACAGGGACACAUGUUCCGGUGUGAAAAACUCCGGUGGUAUGAGAUGGACCCGCGUCUGAUUAGCUGGUUGGCGGGGUAACGGCCCACCAAGGCGACGAUCAGUAGCCGACCUGAGAGGGUGACCGGCCACAUUGGGACUGAGACACGGCCCAAACUCCUACGGGAGGCAGCAGUGGGGAAUAUUGCACAAUGGGGGAAACCCUGAUGCAGCAACGCCGCGUGAGUGAAGAAGUAUUUCGGUAUGUAAAGCUCUAUCAGCAGGGAAGAAGAUGACGGUACCUGAGUAAGAAGCCCCGGCUAACUACGUGCCAGCAGCCGCGGUAAUACGUAGGGGGCAAGCGUUAUCCGGAUUUACUGGGUGUAAAGGGAGCGUAGACGGUGAGACAAGUCUGAAGUGAAAGCCCGGGGCUCAACCCCGGGACUGCUUUGGAAACUGCCUGACUGGAGUGCUGGAGAGGCAAGCGGAAUUCCUAGUGUAGCGGUGAAAUGCGUAGAUAUUAGGAAGAACACCAGUGGCGAAGGCGGCUUGCUGGACAGUAACUGACGUUGAGGCUCGAAAGCGUGGGGAGC